CUUGCUCCUUUGAAGUUAGCGGCGGACGGGUGAGUAACACGUGGGUAACCUACCUAUAAGACUGGGAUAACUUCGGGAAACCGGAGCUAAUACCGGAUAACAUUUAGAACCGCAUGGUUCUAAAGUGAAAGAUGGUUUUGCUAUCACUUAUAGAUGGACCCGCGCCGUAUUAGCUAGUUGGUAAGGUAACGGCUUACCAAGGCGACGAUACGUAGCCGACCUGAGAGGGUGAUCGGCCACACUGGAACUGAGACACGGUCCAGACUCCUACGGGAGGCAGCAGUAGGGAAUCUUCCGCAAUGGGCGAAAGCCUGACGGAGCAACGCCGCGUGAGUGAUGAAGGGUUUCGGCUCGUAAAACUCUGUUAUUAGGGAAGAACAAAUGUGUAAGUAACUGUGCACAUCUUGACGGUACCUAAUCAGAAAGCCACGGCUAACUACGUGCCAGCAGCCGCGGUAAUACGUAGGUGGCAAGCGUUAUCCGGAAUUAUUGGGCGUAAAGCGCGCGUAGGCGGUUUCUUAAGUCUGAUGUGAAAGCCCACGGCU
rnacentral:rRNA from 1 species